AUAACAGGAAGCUGCUGCUCCGCCCGUGCACAGAAAUCCGAGGCCAAGCCCGUUUGAGCUGCUGUGCCGCUUUUGUUUUCAGAAGUGACCUGCCCACAACACAAGAAUUUGUCUGAUGGAGCAAAGGCACUCGGCGCAGCUCGGU